UACGGAGGGUGCGAGCGUUGUCCGGAAUCACUGGGCGUAAAGGGCGCGUAGGCGGCUUGGCAGGGGGGCGGUGAAAGCCCGGGGCUCAACCCCGGGUCUGCCGGACCGACUGCUAAGCUUGAGCACACUAGGGGCAGGUGGAAUUCCGGGUGUAGCGGUGGAAUGCGCAGAGAUCCGGAAGAACACCGGUGGCGAAGGCGGCCUGCUGGGGUGUGGCUGACGCUGAGGCGCGAAAGCGUGGGGAGCAAACAGG
rnacentral:rRNA from 1 species